UACGUAGGUGGCGAGCGUUGUCCGGAUUUACUGGGCGUAAAGGGCGCGUAGGUGGCGACCCAAGUCGAUGGUGAAAGCUCGCCGCUCAACGGCGAGUCGGCCACCGAUACUGGGUUGCUGGAGCACUGUAGAGGCAGAUGGAAUUCCGGGUGUAGCGGUGGAAUGCGUAGAGAUCCGGAAGAACACCGGUGGCGAAGGCGGUCUGCUGGGCAGUUGCUGACACUGAGGCGCGACAGCGUGGGGAGCAAACAGG
rnacentral:rRNA from 1 species